CCUACGGGAGGCUGCAGUGGGGAAUAUUGGACAAUGGGGGCAACCCUGAUCCAGCCAUGCCGCGUGUGUGAAGAAGGCCCUCGGGUUGUAAAGCACUUUCAGUGAGGAAGAACGCCUGGUGGUUAAUACCCAUCAGGAAAGACAUCACUCACAGAAGAAGCACCGGCUAACUCCGUGCCAGCAGCCGCGGUAAUACGGAGGGUGCGAGCGUUAAUCGGAAUUACUGGGCGUAAAGCGCGCGUAGGUGGCUUGAUAAGCCGGUUAUGAAAGCCCCGGGCUCAACCUGGGAACGGCAUCCGGAACUGUCAAGCUAGAGUGCAGGAGAGGAAGGUAGAAUUCCCGGUGUAGCGGUGAAAUGCGUAGAGAUCGGGAGGAAUACCAGUGGCGAAGGCGGCCUUCUGGACUGACACUGACACUGAGGUGCGAAAGCGUGGGUAGCAAACAGGAUUAGAUACCCUGGUAGUC
rnacentral:rRNA from 1 species